rnacentral:rRNA from 1 species
UACGUAGGGUGCGAGCGUUGUCCGGAAUUAUUGGGCGUAAAGAGCUCGUAGGCGGUCUGUCGCGUCGAAUGUGAAAACCCGGGGCUCAACUCCGGGCUUGCAUUCGAUACGGGCAGGCUAGAGUUCGGUAGGGGAGUCUGGAAUUCCUGGUGUAGCGGUGAAAUGCGCAGAUAUCAGGAGGAACACCGGUGGCGAAGGCGGGACUCUGGGCCGAUACUGACGCUGAGGAGCGAAAGCGUGGCGAGCGAACAGG